GACAUUUCCUCAGUGACCACAAGGGGGACAGUGAAAGUGCCAUUUUGUUCUGCUAGUAGAGAGCAAGGACCCAAUAAAGAGAGAAGCCCGAAGAUCUACUCUAAUAGUACCCAUCCUCAACUGGCAUAUAGUUUUACCAGUCAGCUUACCAGUCUGCACUUGGAUGAUAAACUGAAAAAUCUGGGAUUUGCUGGGAGGUGACAUGACUGAUUUAGAUCCAGAUACUCUGAGAUUUAUUGUGGGUUUGAACAUGUCGCCAGGUUCAGACAAGCCCCCAAGCCAGACACUCUGCAUUCCCUCCAUUUUCCUUUGGGAAUAUCUUUACAGAGCACUACUUCUUGUCAUAUGUCAACUGAACCACCUGGUUUGAUUAAAUCUGACUUUACAGUGACCUUAGUGGCAGUGCUGGUAUUGUGCGAACGCAUGUAGGUGGAGAAUAGAUAUAGCCCUCCCAAUAGCUGCUGUACACAUCCAAUAAGUCUUGUCUUAGUCCCCACUUCAACUGCCCCUCUUUUUUUUUUUUUCCUAAAUGCAGAAACAUAGAUUGGCAACUUAACUUACCAACUUGGAUAUUUACUUUAAUUUUCCCUGUGAUGACAAUCUUGCCUUUUGCCAUGGCCUGUGCAGAGAAGAGCAACACAUUUAUGGCUCAGAUCUUCCCACAAAGGCUCAAUCCUCACAAAACUGCUAGUCCAGGAGUAGAAGCGCUGGAUGGAGAAAGAUGCAUCGGGGUAGGAAGGUUCUAUCCAACCAUCAGUGUGGCAUUGGUCACUAACUUUAUAAGCUGCCUGAUCAGAAGAGAGAACAGAGAAGAAAAGGAAAACAAAAGUAUGCCACUAGGGAAAUCAUUAUCACAUACUGACAUCAGAAUGAUUUGUUCAUGCGGUGCAUAUGUUUAAGAUUUGCAUCUAAAACCAAACUGGUGAAGAAAAAACAGCACAAUGGUCUUGCAAUCUUGUAGCAAGUCAUUGCAUUGCAACUCAGGUGUUUUCUUCACUUUUUUAUAGUAAUUUUUGAGAGCUCUAGAACAUGACAUAAGCCAGAGAAAGCACGCUUUUAUUACCAGAAUUGAAACUUCAUCCUAUCUUUUUUGGGGGUCAGUUUGAGAGCAACUGUCUCUCUCCCUCUGCCUAUUCAGCCUUGUUUUGUACUCACUUUCAGGUUGAUCUCAUGAUCAAACAUUUUGGAUGUGUCAAUGCUAAAUUCUGCAACACCGUUAGCAUCAGUGGUGAAGUUGUCUGUGUUCUUGUUAUUGACAAAUAACUGAAUAACCUCAUUGGAAAUAGGAGAGUUGUCUUUGUCUACCAGCUUGAUCUGUAGAAGAGAAUGCGAGACAUGUUUAGCGUGUUAUCUUUCUGUAGAUAGAUAUUAAAAAUGUCAUUCCUUUGCUCUCCACACAACAGGAUUGAUUUUUCUUCUCCCUUCAAAACAAUACCUAAAAACUGAAGUGUCUCUCUUCGCUUUCUACCUAUCUGCCUCAGGUAUAUUACGAGGUUUGGAGCAGGAGCUUCUUCAGGAGCUUCUACACUGUUGAUAAUGUCCCUUUGUGGACCAAGAAUUUCUUAUAUCUCAUCCUUUUCUUGACCUUAUGAAUACACAUGUCCAGUUUAAGGAUAUAUAUGCCCUUUAUUAAUCUUGAGAGUCUGCUGCUGCUGGUUUUAAUGUCUUUAUUCUAUACCUUUGACUCUGUCCCACUGUCACCCUCUCUGUGUGUAAAACCAAUAAAUAAAAAAUACCAAGCACCAUUAGGCAGAUUCUACGUUGCUGUAACUGAGCAUUUGAGUUUUUUUUCUUUUUUUGUUUUGUUUUGGUUUGCUUUGUUUUGUUUCAGGAAAAGAUGGGAAAGAUUGACUAUUCUCUCUGUCCAGAAAAAGCAUGGAUACAAAUGACCUCUGAAAAUAAAAUAACAAUAGAGAACAAGAAAUUUUCAGGUGGAUGUUGACUUCAGUGGGACUGAAUGCAACGAAACUGAAGGUAUACAACAUACAGCCAGCAACAGAUACCUCAUGUAACCAAUGCGAUUUAGCUCAAAGAUGUUAGUGCUGAAAACCUGGGAAAGGCAGCCCUCUGUCUCCAGCUGGAAAGGGAAGAAAACAAACCCUCUUACCAAGGAUCACAGCUUUCAGAGGAUGCUGAUGGGAAACCGAGUCUUGAAGAAGGAACGUGUCAGUCCUUCUUCAGGACUGUAGGAAACCAAGAAAAGAACUGAAGUGCACUGAGUUUCUAGCUAUUGAUCUAAGCAAAUAGUUUAAUAACAGCUUUACUUCAAUAAGAAGAUUGCAUAAAGGGAAGAGAUGAAAUGAGAAUUUGGGGCAGUUUCUGAUCAUACUGGAUUUAGUCCAGGCCCAGAGCAACAGUUUAUUUACAAUUUGGGAAGUGGUUGUCUCCCAGCAAUUUUAAGUACAGAGGAAUAUUUCUGGUCACUUACGAUCUCCUGAACAGGUUUAAAAUUGAAAUCCAGGGCAACGACACGAAACAUCACUGGAAAGACAAGGAACAGGGUGGUUUAUUUGGCUGAGCAUGAUGUUUUGCAUUCACUAGUACUUCCAGUUUGAAUAUAUCUUCUAACAACCCUACUUGCACAGGAUGCAGGUAAUAAAAUGCAUCUGAAGGUAAAAUACUUCACAGACUUUGCCGAGGGACUUUUUCCCAGCAUCAAGUUCUCACACUCUUUCAUGAAAGUUUGCUUAACCUCAGAGAAAGCAGAUGACCGGAUGACUAGGAACUGCUAUGCAGGUCAGGGAGCCUUAAGUGACAGCCAUAACUCUUUCAGUGGCUGUUUGCAUGAGGUAGGCAAAUUUGUUCCUGUUCAUUUCCCUGUCUCUAAAAUAGGGUUUGUAUGAAGGUUACGAACAGUAAUGGGAUCAGGUGAAGAAUCAGUUUUGCCUAAUGCAAAUGUAAUUCUUAGUUCAGUUUAUUCUCAUCUUGUACAGUUUUUUUUGCCUUAUUUUCUUUCUUUUUCUGUAGAAUAGAAAAAUUGAGAGAAUGAUGAAAUAAUAAAUGAUGAAAGAGAAUGAUGAAAUAAUGGAAAACGUGAAAGCAUGUUUCAAAAAAUGUACUUACAAAGCUUUACCUUUUCAUCAUUUAAAUUAGUCUACUGCUUUCCCCACCUCAAAAUCAAGCAAUCUGCCAAAUAAUUGACCGAUGUUUGUGCGACAUACUGGUGACACCAAAUUCUGAUUGGUAAGCUUUCCUUCAUGCUAUGUAUUAAGACAGAAUUCACCUCUAAUUAAAGUAUAGCUGAUACAGUCUAAUUGUUGUGUUAUAUGGAUGAUGUCUGGAAACAAGUACUCUCAUACUAUUUCCUACAGUGUCCUAGCAGUGUGCCUUAAAGCCUAGCAGUGAAUUAAGGCAUGGAUCUGGAUCAACAGUUCUUUGCAGAUAUGGAGCUCUGUUCGAAUGGCCAGAUGAGAAGUUUGGACAGGGGAAUAGCAUACGUGCAGGGAAAACAGUAACAUGAAAACUUUAGACUGCCUUUGAUGCUGACCAACAUCACAGACAGAAGACUGUGAAAGCAUUGUUUUAUGCCAGACACUUAAGUAGUCAUCUAAUCACCUUUUUCCACUAUCUUGACCUGUCAGCAGCAAUGAAAGAGUAGCAGUAAAAACUCCCCUCUUCUUUCAACUGGAAGGAAAAGACAAAGAAAAUCAUAGAGACCAUGGGAUGACAGUCUCCUGCUGUCCUGAAGAUGAUUCCCUGAGCUCUACAGCAAACACCUGUGAUGGUUUCAGCAGAAGCUCUGAAGAAAUAGUCUAGACUGUGGCUCAGCCUGAAAAAAUAUCCGGCAGAGAAAUUGUAUCUGAAGAAAUUUCUUCCUAAGGGAUAUGUUUUUAG